GGCGAGGACCGGCGGAAGUGUCCUCUUUCGAGCUACUGAAAGCAUCUGCCUUGGUGCGGAAAACCGUUGCUUUGACCUCUGAACAGGGAUAUUCCAGGACUAGUGGGAAAAGGUACGUGCACUUUGUAGCCCUUUGAGCCCUUCUUGAUCAGUGUUGCAUGACUGAGAUGGGGGUAAGCUGUGUUAUGUGAUACGCUUGUGCCCAGCAGGAGUGGGUCUCUAGUCUCCAGCACUGCAGCAUUCAGGAAACCGUGGCAGUGAGCUUUAAACUACCCUGUGACCCUCAGUGCGAGCCUUUGGGCAGCAUUUUCUGGAUCGGUCUGUGCCAUGUGGCUCUUCCACAGCACUUGAAUUGACUGCUCUUUCUGCAACAGCGGAGCAUGCAGCUCAUAGCCUCAGUCUCCGCGUAGUAGUGCUUGAGAGCCCAACUCUUGCUUGUGGACCCGGCUGUAGAUUUAUUCGGCUCCUUUGCUGUGUUAGCCCUCCCGGACAUCCCUUUUCCUCCUCCUGUCUCUGCACACCCACGUCCCAGUUGUGAAGUUCCUUAACUCUCUUGCAUCUCCUCAUCAAGUGUGUUUUGUGGUUAUGCCUCUUCCACAGCUGUGCCGCAGAAGAGCUCAGCCCCACAAAAUCUGCAUCUGCCACAGGCUAGCUGAGUUCCCAGGGAGAUCUGUGGUGCUCCUCAGGGUCCAUCCUGGCUAUAAAGGGUCUGCAGAUCUUUGUCCUAGAUGUCUUGGGGCAGCACAAAGUCUGUGCAUGUGCCAGAAUGAGCCUGGCCUCCUGGUUUCACCAAACACAUACAGAAGGAUGGUUUUAGCAGAACCCAUGCCCCUCUGCUUCAUUCCUAGAGCAAGCAAGCUGUCAGACAGCCUUUGCGAUGGCACGGACAGGACCCUAAUGGCUUUGGGGAUGUUGGUUCCUGUCAUCGUGUCAUUCAGAAAGCUGCCGUUGAUCUGCUUGGGUACAAGGGGGUUCUGCGGACAUGAAGCAAUCGCUUCACCUUGAGGCGCUCGCUCCCUGUGUCAGCCCUUACUUGUCAGCUUUAUAAAAAAGGGUCCCUGUGGUAUUCCCUGUCAUUAAAAAGAACUUCACUUUGCUCUCAGUACUGUUGUCAGGCAGUAAAAUGAACCCCUGCCUUGGUAGGGGAUUCUGUAAAGCCCCAAUAAAUAUGACCUUCCAACUUUGCAGGGUCUGUAGUGAAAACUCUCUAAAUUUCACUCUCGUGGAGGGUUGGGAAAAGUGCAAAUAGCAGGACCGGUCGCGUUCCCAUACUAGACCAAAUGAACUGUUCGGAGGCACUGAAGCUCAUACAAGAGGUACAGAAGCAGAAGUGGCAAAUUACUGCUAAGGGAAAACCCUGGAGGGCAGUCGCUUCUCGUUAGUGAGUGUUUUGAGUGCAUGUGGAUGCAUGGUUGUAUGCUGGCCGUCUGUAAAUGCUAAUGAGUUUUGCAUAAGAUAAGACAAGGCCUUGUGGACCUUUUCAGUAGCACGUCUCCUUUUUGAUCAUUUAUUCAUUGGGAAACGUCAGGUGUAUAAGAACUUCCAGUGAGGUAUCCUGAAAUGCUCCUGAUCUCUUUGAGCGAGAAGGCAGGGUGGAUAUGCACCUUGAUAGACUAACUAAAUAAGGUUAUAUAGAGAGCGAGA